AUCGAACGCUGGCGGCAGGCCUAACACAUGCAAGUCGAGCGGAGAGGCGGACGGGUGAGUAAUGCCUAGGAAUCUGCCUGGUACUGGGGGAUAACGUCCGGAUACGGGCGCUAAUACCGUAUACUAUCAGAUGAGCCUAGGUCGGAUUAGCGAGUGGGUGGGGUAAAGGCCUACCAAGGCGACGAUCCGUAACUGGUCUGGGAGGAUGAUCAGUCAAACUGGAACUGGGACACGGUCCAGACGCCUACGGGAGGGAGCAGUGGGGAAUGUUGGACAAUGGGCGAAAGCCGGGUCCAGCCAUGCCGCGUAUGUGAAGAAGGUCUUCGGAUUGUAAAGCACUUUAAGUUGGGAGGCGUUACCAACAGAAUAAGCACCGGCUAACUACGUGCCAGCAGCCGCGGUAAUUC
rnacentral:rRNA from 1 species